rnacentral:rRNA from 1 species
CAGCCGCCGCGGGAAUACGUAGGGUGCGAGCGUUAAUCGGGAUUACUGGGCGUAAAGCGUGCGCAGGCGGUUGUGUAAGACAGGUGUGAAAUCCCCGGGCUUAACCUGGGAACUGCAUUUGAAACUGGCAAGCUAGAGUCUUGUAGAGGGGGGUAGAAUUCCAGGUGUAGCGGUGAAAUGCGUAGAGAUCUGGAGGAAUACCGGCGGCGAAGGCGGCCCCCUGGACAAAGACUGACGCUCAGGUGCGAAAGCGUGGGGAGCAAACAGGAUUAGAUACCCCAGUAGUCCCUGUCUCUUAUAC